AUGGCUGGUAGAAUUAAUAUCUUUGCCCCCAACCUGUCCCCACAGGCUUCCAGAUUCUGGAAAGGCAUUAAAUCUACUAUCCAAACACUGAAGUUUGGAUACAGAUGGAAAAUUGGAUCAGGUGCCAAAGUCAGAUUCUGGGAGGACACCUGGUUUGGUACCUCCCCUCUGUCUGUGCAGUUCUAGCCGAUUUACUCCAUUUGUAAUGAACAGACUAAGAGUGUUUGUGAGGUCUGGGAUGGAAAUCAACUCAAAUUA
rnacentral:rRNA from 1 species